AUCAGACUGCCAUCUGGCCGGGCCUGGAAGGUGGUCUUGUCACUCGCUUCGAGCUCCGAAGAGUGAAGUAGUACCGUUUGGGAAGGGUGAAAAGAACCCCCAUCGGGGAGUGAAAUAGAACAUGAAACCGUAAGCUCCCAAGCAGUGGGAGGAGGCUAAGGCUAAGCCCGUGACUCUGACCGCGUGCCUGUGGGAGAGGCCGCCGGGCACCAGUAGCGUGUCCGCUAACUCAGCGGUGGGCGGCGCAAAGACCAGCC
rnacentral:rRNA from 1 species